UACGUAGGUGGCAAGCGUUGUCCGGAAUUAUUGGGCGUAAAGCGCGCGCAGGCGGUCCUUUAAGUCUGAUGUGAAAUCUCCCGGCUCAACUGGGAAACUGCAUCGGAAACUGAUCGGCUUGAAGGUGGGAGAGGGUAGUGGAAUUCCCGGUGUAGUGGUGAAAUGCGUAGAUAUCGGGAGGAACACCAGUGGCGAAGGCGACUACCUGGCCCAUUCUUGACGCUGAGGCGCGAAAGCUAGGGGAGCGAACGGG
rnacentral:rRNA from 1 species